rnacentral:rRNA from 1 species
UACGUAGGGUGCAAGCGUUGUCCGGAAUUAUUGGGCGUAAAGAGCUCGUAGGCGGUUUGUUGCGUCGGCUGUGAAAUCCCGAGGCUCAACCUCGGGUCUGCAGUCGAUACGAGCAAACUAGAGUGUUGCAGGGGAGACUGGAAUUCCUGGUGUAGCGGUGAAAUGCGCAGAUAUCAGGAGGAACACCUAUUGCGAAGGCAGCUCGCUGGGACGUAACUGACGCUGAGACGCGAAAGCGUGGGGAGCAAACAGG